GUGCCAUUCUAUAAAGAAUUAUGAAAGACUAUAGAAAUCAAUAUAAAUUAUAACUAUAUAGUUAUCAUGUCUUUAAAAAAACAUUUAGUUUUCAAGUAAAAAUAUAACAUUUGUUAGUUGUACAGAGGGAUUCUAAAAUGCACAAUCUUUGUUUUUUCAAAGUUAACAUUCAAUAAUUUAUCUUUACACCAUAUAUUAAGAAUAUCUAGAAUUAAUUGUACAUCAUUUUCAUUUUCAGCAAUUAACACAAUGUAAUCUGCAUAAAAUA
rnacentral:lncRNA from 1 species